AUUAUGUUACCCAAGGAUGAACACAAUAAUUGAGUUUCAAAUCUGUUCUUAUCAGUUUAAUAUCUGAUACGUCCCCUAUCUGGGGACCAUAUAUUAAAUGGAUUUUUGAGAACGGGGGCCGAUUUCGAAGCUUGCUUCCGUCGCCCUAUGCAUUGACCCGAUAUGGCAGUAUCUUCGGGUACAGUGCACCACCC